rnacentral:rRNA from 1 species
UACAGAGGUCUCAAGCGUUGUUCGGAUUCAUUGGGCGUAAAGGGUGCGUAGGUGGCGUCGUAAGUCGGGUGUGAAAUUUCGGAGCUUAACUCCGAAACUGCAUUCGAUACUGCGGUGCUUGAGGACUGGAGAGGAGACUGGAAUUUACGGUGUAGCAGUGAAAUGCGUAGAGAUCGUAAGGAAGACCAGUGGCGAAGGCGGGUCUCUGGACAGAUAUUGACGCUGAGGUGCGAAAGCGUGGGGAGCAAACAGG